GCACGCACGUCGAGGACGGCCGCUCGACGCGCCACGGCGACGAUGCGUCGAGCCGUGCCGUGCGCCACUUCUCCAUCUCCCCUGCGCUCUCGGCCCUCUUCUCUCCCUUGAGCUCGCGCAGCACGCGUUCCCGCCCUCCCUCUCCACCCUCCCUCUCUGGCUCAAGCAAACCGAGCCGAGUUCGCCCAGAAGCACGACCAUGGCCGCCGCUAUUGCUGCCGCGGAGCUCGGGCUCACCGCGGAGACCCCACCUCCGGCCAUCCACGCCCCGAGCUGACCCCGGGAACGAAACCCUCUUAUUCCCGUGAAGCUUCCGAGCCCAUCCAUCACCGCCCCCUCGCGCCGGAACGCUGCCGUCGGUGAGCAGGGCCGCCGCCACCCAUAGGCCACCAUCGAGCUCCCACCUCCGCUUUUCCUUGGCUCCAACCGACCGCGGGAACGGCUUCACCUCACCCCAACGAAGCUCCCCGGCCCGCUUGCCUCCGUCCAGGCCUACCGGAGCGCCGCCGCCGCGGUCCAGACCCGCCGCCGCCUCUGCUUCUCCGCGGGCACGCCGACGCAGGCCGCCCCAACCCCAAUCCCGGGUACCCAGAGGUACGAUAGAAGAACCGCGUGAAUGACGUGAUAUCGGAGACGAGCCGGAAGACGAUGAAUGGUGGACACGUCUAGAAGAUGGACGGAUGGAUCCCGAUGUGCACGACCGAAGGAAGAUGUUCGCCGAGCGAGUUUUCUCUAACUAACACUGACCUAGUGUUAUUUCCAGGCAAGCCCCGGAGCAUGUCCUACUAUUUUAAAUUUAUGCAACUUAUUAUUGUUCCUAUCUAUUUGUGCAUUUAAGUUUACAAGAGUUGACUGGAAUCUUAGUUGCAUAAUCCUAGGUACCGAUGUUUGAACACUA